rnacentral:rRNA from 1 species
AACGAUGAAGCCGCUUCGGUGGUGGAUUAGUGGCGAACGGGUGAGUAACACGUGGGCAAUCUGCCCUGCACUCUGGGACAAGCCCUGGAAACGGGGUCUAAUACCGGAUAUUACCUGGUGAGGCAUCUUACUGGGUGGAAAGCUCCGGCGGUGCAGGAUGAGCCCGCGGCCUAUCAGCUUGUUGGUGGGGUGAUGGCCUACCAAGGCGACGACGGGUAGCCGGCCUGAGAGGGCGACCGGCCACACUGGGACUGAGACACGGCCCAGACUCCUACGGGAGGCAGCAGUGGGGAAUAUUGCACAAUGGGCGAAAGCCUGAUGCAGCGACGCCGCGUGAGGGAUGACGGCCUUCGGGUUGUAAACCUCUUUCAGCAGGGAAGAAGCGAAAGUGACGGUACCUGCAGAAGAAGCGCCGGCUAACUACGUGCCAGCAGCCGCGGUAAUACGUAGGGCGCAAGCGUUGUCCGGAAUUAUUGGGCGUAAAGAGCUCGUAGGCGGCUUGUCACGUCGGAUGUGAAAGCCCGGGGCUUAACCCCGGGUCUGCAUUCGAUACGGGCAGGCUAGAGUUCGGUAGGGGAGAUCGGAAUUCCUGGUGUAGCGGUGAAUGCGCAGAUAUCAGGAGGAACACCGGUGGCGAAGGCGGAUCUCUGGGCCGAUACUGACGCUGANGAGCGAAAGCGUGGGGAGCGAACAGGAUUAGAUACCCUGGUAGUCCCGCCGUAAACGUGGGNACUAGGUGUGGGCGA